rnacentral:tRNA from 1 species
GCCCUUUCCAAAUCCGCUAAAUAGGUUUCCUAAACCUGGUGCCGCAGGUUCGAUUCCUGCAGGGGGCACCA